GGAAUCCUUAAAGGCGCAUCCCGAGAGCAAGACCUGGCUGAAUUUCUCUGCACACAUGAACGUUUUUUUAGGGGUGGGUUUAAUCUGACACAAGAUAAUUUAGCGCAAAACGCCUUCAGAGGUGAAUUAGACGAGCAGUCCAGUCCUCCAGUCUGCUCUCCAUCUCCAGCAGUGACAGUCCUGAGUGGGCCGUAUGUGAAUGCGUUCAUUAAUGCAGCCAUGGCUCCUGUCAGGGUAGAAAUGUGUCCAGAUGGAGGGACCCCACUGUGCAGGCCUGGCCAGCACUCGAGGGGUGAGGAGAGCUGAUGUGUGGGGUGGGGAUCCGGUCUAACUGGACUCUUUCUCAGCAUGCGGGUUGCCGAGUUUUGGCACGCCACCGUCCCUCGGCUCAGGUUACAGGUUCGCCUCACUUGGUAGAAGCUUGCCAAAUUAAGCAGGAGUCAACAUGGACAGUUUGCAAGGUGUGACUUCAUCCUUGGAAACCAUGAACAAAACUAUGCAAGGUGUUGAUCUCACGGCAGGCCCUGACAGGAAGUUUCCGCAGCUCUCCACCAAACCCAUUGGAGUGCACAUCAGCCUGACGGAUGGAUGAAUGACACCAAUGAAAAAGGAGCGCUAUCCUCCGGGCAACCCGCUCAGGAUGAGUGACAGGGUGCAGGCGGGAGAAUAGACUGUCUUUGAACCUGAAAAAACUCUUUUUCCUCCCUCUCUCAAAUCUUUUCUCCCCCUUUUCUCUUCUUCAAGGUGCAGAUUCCCCCCCAAACUCUGGCCGAUCCACUCUUUUCUCUAUGCUGGCGUUUUGUUUCGGCUGGCUAAGGGUGUGUGUGUGUGUGGUGGGCAGUGCAGGGUGUGAGGCGUGUUAAAUGCUCUCCUUUCAGAGGCAGAAUGUGUCAGUCAGCUCACAGGCCCUGUUUUGUUUGGAGCUGUCAACCCUUCUGGAAGAGGGAGAGGAAAAACCGGGGGAGUGAAGGAGAGAGAGAAAUCAGAGGGCAAGCGGAGAGGGACGUGUGGGUGUAGGGAGAGAGACAGCUGGGAGGCCUACAGGAGAGCCUGACCUCACCUCAAGAGCAAAGGGUCACUGGCAGGCCACUCACAACUAUUCCACAAAGCUGAAAUGAGUUAUUGAAUACUCAGCCCAUGGCAGAGUAACUCAUAUAGCAUUCAACUACAAGAGCAAAUUAUAUGGGAAGUAUAGUGACUAUAACAUAAAGGUGUUUAGAGUAAUGUUAUGUAAAAAGAAGAUAAUUCUGUCACGAAUUCUGUUACCUUCAUGUUGUUCCAAAGCUGUAGGACUUUGUUGACACAUAUCUUUUACAUGCACUCUAAAAAAUAACUAAAAAAACUAAACAAAUUUACAUAGUAAAUAGCAUUUUCCACUGAAACAGUAAUAUACCGUAAAAACAAUUAAUUCUGGGUAAUAUUAUUUGUCGUUUUUGAGAAAGUAGCCUAUAGGCCUCUUUUCUUAAAAUGAAAAAAAUACCCAGAAUGGAUUAUUUUUAUAGUAUAUUGCUGUUUCAAUGGAAAAGGGUAUUUUACUGUGUAAAUUUGUUUUGUUGUUUUACAGUUAUUUGUUUUUACAGUGACAGUACAAUGAAAGUGAAUGAUGACCAAGAUUUGUCAAGCUCAAAAUAUAAAGAAAAGCAUUAUAAAAGUAAUCCGUCUGACUUUCCAAGUCUUCUAAAUAGCUUUGCAUGAGGAAAAUAACAAAAUUUAAGUUGAUAUUACUCACAUAAUUACAUACAAUGCCAGGUUACAUGUCAUAAUUUGAAAAUACAUGAUUCCUCUUGUGUGUCUUGUAACAAAUCAUGAUGUCUUUAGAGGACAUAUAGAGGAAUAUAGCACACAAAUCAUCUGGACCACUUUCAUAACUGUCCGAUGCUUCAUUUUUUUGUGACAGACCCAAACUGUAACGUCUCAUUUUGUGGUUUACGGAAGGAAAAAAAAAAAUCAUAAAAUUAUAAAUGAUUCCUUGGUAAACAGCAGAAACUUUCUUUAAUAAUAAUAUAUAUAUAUAUAUAUAUAUACACUCUCACUUCAAGCACUGGGAUGUUUAACAAAGAAAUAUAUAUAUAUAUAUAAUAUAGUGCUUUAAGUUUCAUUUUUGUGCCAUUAGCAUCGCCAAUAGAAUUGCAAAGAUCAUGUUAUCUGGAUACUCACAGUCACCUCAUCUGCCAUUGGUUGGCCAAUCCGAUAGUCCUGACCCCAAACUCACGCCAUUGGUUGAGCUGAUGUUGGCUGGUGGUGCUCAAACAAAAAAAAAAGAAAAUGUUUUGAUUGCAAAAUAGAUCCACAGUGUUUAAAUUUUGGGGGUAAGCAACCUAUGAAUGUUUUACCAUUGUCUGUAACCUGGGAAAGGAGAAAGUAUUUUAAUUUUUAAAAAAUGUUACUUCACCUUUAAGUAAAAAUCAUGUUAACAUUUACUUGUAAACUCCCAUACGCAGUUCUCAUGCCUUUGUUGGACUCAUUAGUGAUUUAGCGAAACGCCACAUUCUCAUCAGAUUGUUUGUUUUGUCAUGACUUUCUUUUGUGCCGGGACCUCCUCCACUCUGGUUGGAGAGCUUCCUAUAAAGCCUGCCAAUCACAGUCAGGAGAAUGAAGGAUCACUGACAGAUAAGAGGCACAGGGUGGAAGGUGAGGGUCAGGCUAGUAACAGAGGACAGAAUGACAGAAAGAGAGACAGAGAAGAGAGAAGCAAGACUAUCAAAAACUAAAUUCCUCCAGAUUUCGCCAGUCCAUUUCUUAUUUUUCAUCACCAUGUCCAUGGUGGUUUUAAACUGAGGGUCUGGGGAGAGGGUCUGCUGACAGACCUUCUCUCACUGGAAGAGGGACAGACUGGUAUGCAUCUGCUCUGGCUCCGUGCCCCACUGAGUGUCAGCGUGCAGAUGGAAGUGGUUAUUUGUAAUAAUAAACCCUGGGAAUGGGAGAGAUGUGUGCCCUCACAGCCUGAGACAUGCGUGACUCUGAAGCUCAAACACCACUGAGGACAACACAGCCCGACCAGAACCAACUUGCUACCAACUUUGAAUACUCUUUUUAUGGUUCUAUUUAGAAUGAGGCUUUGAAUAUUCUGGAAUUUUUGUAAAUAGGCAUUUAUUUUUUUAUUUUGCCUCCACUUUGUUACAUUCUCAAUAGAGUUCAAUGACUAUUUUUUUUUGUCCGGAUUUAUACAUUUAUUCAAAAAUACAUUAAAAAUGCAAUUCAUACAUACAAAGAUUUGAAGACAUCUUCAAGGAAGAGAAUUGUUUAUUUACAGAAUUAAAGUUCAUAUUGAAUUUUUUUUAUAUAUUUUAGGUGGCAUAAAGUCAAAAAUUUCUGGGAAAUACAACUGUCCUGAUGACUUAAGGAAGAAAAUAUAAUAUAAAUAAUAUAAAACCUUAUGAAGUUUUCUUUGAAAAAAAUAUAUUUAACAAAACUGCUUAUUAAAAACUUUUGACCACCAAUUCAAGAUCAUGUAUUGUGGCUAAUAUUAAAAACAAACAAAAAAAUUCAUUACACACUUCAAAUGAUCUCAUAGGAAAUUAUAUUCAGUUCAUCCAUACUGUGUUUUAAGGCCAAUAAGUAUCUUAAAAUAUUAAUAAUUUGACCUUUUUAUGAAAUUGCAAAGUUAAUUCAUCUUGUAAAAUGUCAUGUAGUGCGAAUCCCCCAAAAAUCUAAUGAUAUUUAUGAAUUAAAGUCUUAAACAAUUAAAAUGAUGUUUUGCUUGAAAAUUAUAAUAAAUAUAAUAAGACUCCAAUGAAUUCAAGGCGUAAGGAAAAUAUGUUGUUACAUUUUAUGUGAUGGUCACACCACAUAACACUUUUAGUCUGUCUUUUCUUCAUAAUUAUCUAAAAGUUUUUCAAAACCAUAUAAAACCAAAAUGAAUACAAAGACUAUAUUUCUAAGCUCUUGACACACAGUUUGUCACUGACCACAGAUUUCUAUUCUUUUUUUAUACUUAGGGUUAGUGGACUUGCAGCCUUUGAAUUCAUAUGCCACAAAUAUUAUGACAUAAAUAUUUUGUUGGUUCUGUCAGAUGAUUUUGAGCUGAAAGGCGGAAGCUCAGCAAAUGAUUCUCAAGCUUUUUCCUGCCAAUCACAUUGAAGUUCACUAUAAGGUCUCUUUAAUUAACUGUAAUUUCAGAGUCUUUAAACUGUCACUGCGACAUUUUGGAUAAAAAACAUUGCCUGCUCCAAACAGAAUUUAUUACUGUACACAACCCAGAGGCCAGAGGCAAUAUUUUGCAUGAAAUGAUUCAAGUAUUUCUUCACUUGCCGGGAAUAAUUUACGUCAAGAAGCUCACGGCGGGACCGCACUCGGGGACAGGACCUGAGUGAGUUCUUUUAUGAGCUCAACGUCCACAACAUGUCAACCUUUUCCCUCCACAAAUAAAUAUUGUGCAAACGUCAGAAAAACUCGAUAUUUACGCUCAGCGCAUGAAAAACACACAAACAUUAUUUUUCAAAGACUGCGUGCUUAAACUCUCAUUGCCCUCACAGUGAAAACAAGGCAGGAUGGGGGAUGGUGAAGCACAUGCUGUAAGUUUUAACAUCACAUUUCUAGACAAAACUCCAGCAAGCACAUUAUAUGUCAUCAUAAGCUGCUUCCUUUGUGUGAAUGCUAAAUCACGUCCCUUAUUAAGCAACUCAAUCUUUCAUUUGCCUUUGUGUUGAUGUCACUAUCACUUUAUCCCCUUUCACAGAAUUCUGCUUAAUUAACUUCUGUCCUGUCUGCCUUGUUGAUUGGCUACUUAAGGACUCAAAGACUUCACACUCUUGUCAAUAUCUCGUGCAUCAGAGCUCUGAUUGGCUCUUCUUUUGUUAACGAGCUGGUCGGUGCGCUGACAGCCAUGACAGCGAUGUGGCAUGAUGUCUUUGUAUGGUGAGAGAGGAGUGCGGUCCAGCCAGCUCACGCUGUCACUCCGCAGCUGCUGGCUGUCUCCGGGUGGAUCGCUUCGUGCCCCAGCCCCUCGAACACUGUCUGUUGACCUUCCAGGCUCGGGGCUCUGUUUCUCUCUCACAGCUGUGCGCUUUGAACCCGAAAUCGGUGUGUUAGAAGCAAUCAGGGCCAAGCUCUGUUUUCAGUUCUUUCACCCUCAGGCCUCACAAGCUGUUCUGUGUGAUCAGGCUUUUUGGGCAAUGAGAUUGGAUAUGCUGGUCAAGAAUUAGAGAAACAGUCAUUAUACAGGCAGCUUGUGGUUUGGCUCCAAACAGAAAGCCUUCACGGGCUGUUCUUCUCUCUCCGGCAAUCGUUACUGUGUCUUUAAAGAUGAGAAAUGUCCAUGUUCAGUGUUAGCUUCAAAUGUCUUCCUAUAUAUGUGAAAUGUAUAUGCUUAUAACUGGGUUGCGCUCUUUUUGUUUGAUUUAUAAUCAUGCAGUGCUGUCAAAGGGUUUCAUGUUCUCAUGGAGCUCUAUUUAAUUUAAAACAAAGAACUGAUCUGAUGCUGGUGAACUGCUUUGGCAGUCGUGUAACAAACUGUAAAAUGUAGAUUAAGCUUUAGUUGAUGUGUUUUGGAACAUUGUGGAAAGUUUCUAACUGGUCCAAGCUGGUCAAGUUGGUAUGGACCAGAAACAAACCAACUACCCGUUUGGUCUUAGCAGUGGUUUAGCUGGCUGGUUAUUAGCUAGUCUAAACCAGUGGUUCUCAACCCCACUCCAGUUAUUUGCUGGUCUAAGAUGGUCAUUAGCUGGUCGAACUGGAUAUUAACUAGUCCAGGCUGGUUAUAGCUGGUCCAGGAUGGCCAUUAGCUUGUCAAACUGGAUAUUAACUAGUCCAGGCAGGUUAUAGCUGGUCCAAGAUGGCCAUUGGCUGGUCCAAAUGAGUUAUUAGCUGGUCCAAGCUGGGCAUUAACUGGUCUAAACCGAUCAUUAGGUGGUCCAAGCUAAUUAUUAGCUGGUCCAAGCUGGGCAUUAACUGGUCUAAACCGAUCAUUAGGUGGUCCAAGCUAAUUAUUAGCUGGUCCAAGCUGGGCAUUAACUGGUCUAAACCGAUCAUUAGGUGGUCCAAGCUAGUUAUUAGCUGGUCCAAGCUGAGCAUUAACUGGUCUAAACCGAUCAUUAGGUGGUCCAAGCUAGUUAUUAGCUGGUCCAAGCUGGGCAUUAACUGGUCUAAACCGAUCAUUAGGUGGUCCAAGCUAGUUAUUAGCUGGUCCAAGCUGGGCAUUAACUGGUCUAAACCGAUCAUUAGGUGGUCCAAGCUAGUUACUAGCUGGUCCAAGCAUUAGUUGGACUAAACUUGGGUGUGUUUCCCAAAAGUAUCGUUAGCUAUCUAUGGAAAGCAAAUUCCAUUGAACUCCAUUGGUAAUGACGGAACUUGCGGCCAUAGUUGGCUUUGGGAAACGCACCCCUGGUCAGUAGGUCAUUAGCUGGCUGUACUCUUUUUGCUGUAAUAUAUUCAGCUCUAUUUAAUUUAAAGCAAAGAAUUGAUAUUAUGGUGAAUUGCUUUCACAGCCAUGCAACAUACUGUACAAUGUAGAUUAAGCUAGCUUAUGUGUUUUGGAACAUGAUGGCAAGUUUCUAGCUGGUCCAAGCUGUUCAUUAGCUGAUCCAAGCUGGUAGACCAUUGUGGACCAGCAAUAAGUUAGAGCAACUACCUUAAAGUGGACAAGCUAAUAUAAAAAAAUCAAAAAUAAAAGCUGGUCAUUAGCUGGUAUAAUCUGGUUGUUAUCUGGCCAAAAAUGGUCAUUUGCUAGUUUAAACAGAUCAUUAAUUGGUACAAGCAGAUCAUUAAAGGAUUAUGCUUUUUUACAUUUUCAGCUUUCUUUAGUGUGUAAUGUUGCUGCUGCAUGAAGAAGAUAUGUAAAGUUACAAGCAGAAAGUCCACUCUAAAGGGAGUUAUUCUCUAUAUCAGUAGGCACUUUUUCUCCCUGAACUCCAUGAAAAGCUUCGAUUGUAGGUUUUUUCUUGGAACAUACACAAUCACAAUAUUCCUUAUUUAAAUAUUUCUCCCCAAGGCAUAUGCAAAAUAAAAGGCAGAGGCCUUAACUCACUAACUUACCAUAACUCGCGGUUAUGGUAAGGGCGGUGAGAUUUCCGAAAUGUGCUCGAAGCAGUUGGCCAAUUACAACACACUGGUCCAGCCGACCAAUCAGAGCACAUUGUGCUUUUCAGAAGGAGGGACUUCAUAGAGAACUAAACAGAUUUUUUACUGACAGACUGGGAAGAGAGGUCACUUUUAAGCAUGAAAAUCUAUUCUAGUAGACCCCAAAAACAAAGUCAGGAUUUUGAAAAAGGCCAUAAUGGGUCCCUUUUAACUGGCCUAAGGUGGUUAUUAGCUGGUACAAGCUGCUCAUUAUAUAGUCUAAAUUGAUCAUUAGGUGGUCCAAGAUGAUCAUUAGCUGGUUAUGCACUCAUCUAAACUGGUCAUUAGCUUCUCUAAGCUGGUUAUUAGCUGAUCUAAGCUGGUCGUUAGUUGCUCUAAGUUGGUUAUUAUAGCUGAUCUAAACCGGUUGUUAACUGCUCCAAGCUGGUUAUUAUAGCCGAUCUAAACCGGUUGUUAACUGCUCCAAGCUGGUUAUUAUAGCCGAUCUAAACCGGUUGUUAACUGCUCCAAGCUGGUUAUUAUAGCCGAUCUAAACCGGUUGUUAACUGCUCCAAGCUUGUUAUUAUAGCCGAUCUAAACCGGUUGUUAACUGCUCCAAGCUGGUUAUUAUAGCCGAUCUAAACCGGUUGUUAACUGCUCCAAGCUGGUUAUUAUAGCCGAUCUAAACCGGUUGUUAACUGCUCCAAGCUGGUUAUUAUAGCCGAUCUAAACCGGUUGUUAACUGCUCCAAGCUGGUUAUUAUAGCCGAUCUAAACCGGUUGUUAACUGCUCCAAGCUGGUUAUUUUAGCCGAUCUAAACCGGUUGUUAACUGCUCCAAGCUGGUUAUUAUAGCCGAUCUAAACCGGUUGUUAACUGCUCCAAGCUGGUUAUUAGCUGAUCUAAACUGGUCGUUAGUUGCUCUAAGUUGGUUAUUAUAGCUGAUCUAAACCGGUUGUUAACUGCUCCAAGCUGGUUAUUAGCUGAUCUAAACUGGUCAUUAGUUGCUCUAAGUUGGUUAUUAUAGCUGAUCUAAACCGGUUGUUAACUGCUCCAAGCUUGUUAUUAUAGCUGAUCUAAACCGGUUGUUAGCUGCUCCAAGCUUGUUAUUAUAGCUGAUCUAAACCGGUUGUUAGCUGCUCCAAGCUGGUUAUUAGCUGAUCUAAAUUGGUCAUAAGCUGCUUAUUAGCUGGUUUAAGUUGGUCACUGGCUGGUUCAAACUGGUUAAUAAUGCUUCAAGCUGGUCACUAGCUGUCACUGAAUGUCAUUAACUGGUCUAAACUGGACAAUAGCUGGUCCAGACAUUAGUUGGUCCAAGUUGGUCAUUUGCUAGUUUGCUUUUUCAAAAACUAGCUUGACUACCUUAAAAUGGCAUUACCAGCCUUUUUUUUUGUUGUUGCCGGUCCACAACGGUCUACCUACCAGCUAAUGACCAGCGUGGAUCAGCAAGAAACCAGGGUAACACUUUAUUUCGAUGGUCCACUUUAGACAUUCUACUAACAUUACAAUUAUACUUGCAACUACAUGUCUACUACCAGUCUUUAAAGAAUUAGCAGAAUGUCUGCUUGAUAUUGUCUAACGCUUUAUAUUGAUGGUCCACCAACAGACAUUCUACUGACUAUAAGUAACUUUUUAACUAUUUUUUAACAUGUCAACUUAUUACUAACCUGAACUCUAACACCUAUCCAUAACUUUGUAGUCUACUAACAGUCUACUACAGUCUACUAAUACUCUAAAGAGAGCUAGUUGACAUGUAGUUGCAAAGUUACUUAUAGUUAGUAGAAUGUCUAAAGUGGACCAUCGAAAUAAAGUGUAUCAACUGGUAUCAAGGUAUCAACUGUGAACACUGCAGCUAUUUUGUACUCUAUCUGCUUCCAGUCUUGCUAUGGCAAUCCACCACUUUACCAUUUAUUUAAAAUAAAUAAUGAAUUGGGGAAAUUAAAAUAUUUUUUCUAAAGAUUCUCUAUAGAAUGCAUGUCAAAUUUGGGCUCUGCUAAAACUAAAACAAGCGUUUGUCUGGCACUCAUUUGUCUUAAGCACAUGACAAAACCACAGCGCCAUGUUUUUCCUCUGACAGUCCCUCCUCUGACUCGCUAAUUGAACAAGACAGCCGUCGGCUGCAGGCCAUUCCUUCUCUCAUGCGUUUUGAGAAAACUUUCCGUCCUCAUGACUGCUUCCAGCAAUAUGGCAGGACUCCAGUCAUCACAUUGUCAAUGGAUAGUCUUACUUCUGCUCUUUCUGGAGCCUGUAAACAAACAAGCCAACAAUAAUAAGAGUUCAACAGUCCAUAGAACAUCUGUAAAAUCCCAUCAAAGAUUAAACUAAUCAGGAGUAAAACUGUUUCAAGUAGAUUUAUGGAACAAAACAACACUGGAUAUGUAAUCAAGAUGUGGAAAUCACAUUCUGGAAUGAAGUUACUAGUGCACAGCUUCCACUUUUUGCACUACACUUUAAGGCAGAAAAAUUGAGCUUUUUUUUUUAACAGUGUGUCUGAUUUGUUUACUCAUAAAUACAUCAAGCAAUCAGUGUGAAUGACACAUUAACACUGAACAGUAGAGCCAAAACUGUUAUAUGUUCCACUUGUCAGCCCCUGCUUGAACACAGCGUCUCGAGAAACAGCCAGAUAUUUUCUUGGCUGAACAAUAUUUGCAAUUCAGAGAAAAUGACCUUACUCUGAGAUGGAAAGGUUGCUGGGGAUGAAAAUUUGUCUCCAUGUUAAGAUUGCCACUGAGUUCUCAAAGCCACAGCCUUUGGUCUGCCCGACCAGCUGUCUGGAACUGACAAAACCAGAAAUGGAUUUACAUUGUCCAUACUCCAGACUGUCUUUCUCAAUUUGGGGGCCAUCAAGAGGCAAUCUGGAAACUGUUAGUCAGUGAGUCCUUGCAGUAAUUGCUUGCAGCUGAGAAUUCAGUCCUGUGUGAGUGAAGUAAGGGGGGUGGGGAGAGGGAAACCUGAGAUAUAACAAGUGCAAUUGAUCCUUUUCUGAAUUCCCUCUGCGAGGAGCCACAUUUGGGCUCCACACAGUUCAGGAAACAGACUUUCUGGAAAGGAAAUGAAUCAGUCGCAUACAGACAGUCUUCUGUUUUUGUUCAAACACACAAAUAUGUAUUGAACACAAAAAAGAUAUCAAAUAUAAAAGGAUUUAGGAUGCCUUAUAAUAUAUACACAGUAAAUACCCAGCAGACUACACUGUGUUCUAAAACACUCACACAAACACACACGCUCAGAUGGUCCUGGUUAACGCUGAGACUUGGGGGCUCCUACACUUUGUUUCCCCCGUGUGUUCUAGUAAACAGCAUGACAGUAUGUUUGAUUAAGGCUGCACGCUGGAGAGUGCAGGUUUUGAGGACACAGUAGGGGUCUGGGCUCUCUCAGGGGCCUCUGUGUGUUUACUCUGAUUGUUUAAGGUCAGAGAGAGAGAGGGAGCAGAGAAACAUCUAGAGAGCUCAGGCAUCCCCGGUCCCUUGACCACAGCCAGCAGAAUGCAUUGUCCUGAAGGAAUGAUGAUGGAAAUAUCUCUGGUAUCUUGCAAGGAUUUUUUUUUUUCUUUCCAAAAAAAAAAAAGUACUCUUAAAAAAAAAAAAUAAAAAAAAAAUAUACAGUAAAAAACAAAUGGUGUGUUUGCCAGAAAUUCACCAUCAUAAUUUCAUAAACUGUCAUCAAAUUACAAUAAUAACAUCUCAGCCUACUUAGAUUUGCUUUGUACUUAAAAAUACACUGAUGAUCAGCAUAUAUGGAGGUGGUAAAAUAGAAGGCUACACAAUGACUAAAGGCCUUUACAAUGACUAAUCAGUUACUGACAAAAACAUAAAGACCAUCAAAGUAAAUAAUGUAACAUAAUAUACUCUAAUGUUAAUAACAGAUGACAAAAAUAAGAUUAAAAAAUUUACAUAGGAUAAAUAAAAAUGUCAUUUUAAUACAAAGUUCUGUCAUGAAACUCUAGAUGGCGCAGGCUAAUAGGUCCUUUAACUCAACCUGCUCUUAAUUAAGUCGUUAUCUAUAGGGCACAGCUGAUUGGUUCCUGCUGUAUCAGUAGCCAAUGACCUUCAAAAUACUUUGGUAGCAUUGCCUUAGCAGUGCAAUGCGCUUCAGAAACCCUCCACCUUCCCCAGCUCCACCUGUAUAGAUCUGCUACGGGUAAUUUAUGUACGCUAUAUUGUACAGCAGCAGCAUGUCGUACUUGCUCACGGCAGCCUGUUGUGUAUGUAUUGGCAAUAGCGAGUACCGUACAAGUCCCGUAAGUCAAAGUAACAUCCACAUAGAUGGCAGGACCCAAGGUUUCCCAGCAGAACAUUGCCCAAAACAGUGGACAGGGGUCAGCAUGGGCACCCUGACUGGUCGGUGUCUAUGCAGCCCCAUACGCAACAAACUGUGAUGCACUGUGUAUUCUGACACCUUUCUAUAAGAAUCAGCAUUAACUUCUUGAGCAAUUUGAACUACAGUAGCUUGCUUGUUGGAUCGGACCAACCCUUGUCAAACUCGCUCAAAUCCUUACACUUGUCCAUUUUUCCUGCUUCUAACACAUCAACUUUGAGGACAAAAUGUUCACUUGCUGCCUAAUAUA